CUGCUUCCAGGAAAAGCCUCUAAGCAUCAGGUAACAUCAAAUCGUACCCCAAACCGACACAGGUGGUCAGGUAGAGAAUACCAAGGCGCUUGAGAGAACUCGGGUGAAGGAACUAGGCAAAAUGGUGCCGUAACUUCGGGAGAAGGCACGCUGAUAUGUAGGUGAAGUCCCUCGCGGAUGGAGCUGAAAUCAGUCGAAGAUACCAGCUGGCUGCAACUGUUUAUUAAAAACACAGCACUGUGCAAACACGAAAGUGGACGUAUACGGUGUGACGCCUGCCCGGUGC
rnacentral:rRNA from 1 species